UGGGGAAUAUUGCACAAUGGGGGAAACCCUGAUGCAGCAACGCCGCGUGAGUGAAGAAGGGUUUCGGCUCGUAAAGCUCUGUUGUUAAAGAAGAACACGUAUGAGAGUAACUGUUCAUACGUUGACGGUAUUUAACCAGAAAGUCACGGCUAACUACGUGCCAA
rnacentral:rRNA from 1 species